UGUUGUUCCCAAUUGUACUUUAUUUCUGUUACAUCCGUUUUGUAAAAGUCCUAUGUACUAUUGAAUCUUGUGAUUAACUGGAUAAUUUGACCUUCUAGUGCAAUGUUAGUUUUCUAAUGGUAGUUAGGGAUUUCAAAAUUAGAAGUUGCCAGGAGUAAAUUGAUUUUGAGUGCUCUUCUAUUUCAAUUAGGAGAUCUUUAUCUUUCUCUCAUUUAUUUUUCUCUAAAUGAACAUGAUUCUGAGAUGGCUUGAUAUUGAAUAUCUAGGUGAAAAGGAUCCAUUUUCUGUAAAUGAAUGCAUAUCAGGCUAUUGCCUCUUGAUUAAAAGAAAUUGGAGUUGCAAAGGAUGUGGAAAUUAACCAAGUAGAUGGCUUACUAUGAUUGUGACCGAGUUUUAGUGUUGCUACAAUCUAUUGCGUGUGUUGAUUUUAUUGCUGAAACAAUAUUUAUAAGAUCUUCCUUUUCUCUUCAUUCCUUGCUAAUUUGUUUCGUUAAGUUAGCUGGUUAAACAAUUAAACAAAACAUUUUGAAAUCUCCAGUAGUUAAACUCUCAGUAUACUGAAAUAGGAAUUUAGAAGAUUCCAAGUCUACUGGGGUGGGGACUACUGCUUUUCCUAAGAUUUCUACUCCUCAAUCAUGCAAGAGAGUCGAUGAUUGUGCUGUUAUUUAUGUUUCUUGAUUAGUCUAGUUAAUUGUUUUCUCAAAUUUCAGUUUUACUUUGUAAGAAGACACAUUUCAUAAUGGGGGCAAUGGACUUCAAUAUGGUGGCGGGGAGAGGACUAGAGGUUUAUUUGGUUCUGUAUCUUACAUAGGCUUUAUUUAUGACGUGAUUGAGGACAUCCUUUUGCUCCGUGCCUCAGUCGAUAGACCAUGUAUAUUAAUGAAUUAUUCUUCGAGUUAGCUGGUGUUAAGUAUAACCCAAGAACACCAAGUCUAUGCACAUUGAGCUGUUAAUUUAAUCUAGUUAGUCGUAGGUAACAUAGCCAGUAAUGGAGUAAUUCUCUAAAUUUGUACGGUCUCUUCAAAGUAGACAAACUCCUGAACCCUGCUUUAUUUAACUGAGGAUUAUUUCUCCUCGAGGCUAUUUCGAAAGCUAUUCAGUAAUUUGAAUUUUUUCUUGGUUCGCUUUUGUAGCUUCAUGUUUCUAUUGACCCUAUCUUUGGACAAUAGGGUUUUCAAACAUUUAUCCAUACUCUAACUUCAGCAAUGUGAUUAGAUGUAGAAUAUGAUCAGCUCUUUUAGAGAAAUCUCACCUGUUCUGCUAAAAGAAACUAUGCGAAUCCUGUUCAGUUUUGGUUUUUGCUUAUCCGAGCUGCUAUUCUUUAACUUGGUGUAGUGUUUUAUAUUUCUCUUUUGAGCUGCUUGUAACUUUGUAAUAGAGCAAGCAACAAAUUUCCUGGAGUUCCUCUCAAAUCUUUACGGACAAAUGUGCACUUGCUAAGAGCAGUAGCUUGGGAUUCAGUGGAUCUGACUCAGAAUGAAAGCUCUAUUACUAGAAGUAUGAGACUUGUCAGCAUAUGUGGCGUUGCACUGUGAAUAUGUCCACCGCAAAUUCUGAUUUUGGAGCAGCUGGAGAAAGUAAUAAGCAAAAACUGAUUGCGGACAUUGAUCCAUGAUUAAAGGAAGCUAUGGCUAGAAGGCCUGGUGCUUGCCUCGAGUUGAGCACAUUGAAGCGCCAAAUCCACUAUUUUCAGGGCCUUCCAUUGUUCUUCUACAUCCCAGAGACUAAUUUCUUCAUCAAGAAAACAAUGGAAAUUGUUGCUUCUCUGCAAGUUCU